UUCAAGAAAGAUUGUAUAUUUUAUUUUAGAUUAGCUUGUAAGAAUAACUGGAUAUAAAUUCUACAUGUUUUCAGUGUUGGACAACAAUCCUUACCUGUGUUACAGGAUGAACAGCUCUGUCCAUGGCAUCCAACCACCUAAAACAUGAAAAACAGCAGGUUGGAUGUAGCGGAGAAGUAGUACACUCGGUUGGCAGACAGGGGGCAGCACUUGAACACAAAGGGUUUCCCCAGGGAGGGGUCCCCUCCAACAUCUGCUCCCUCUAGCUUAAAAGAUGACAGAGCUCGCUUCCUCCCCUCAUCCUGCAACAGAAUACACUGGCUGUCAGUGGAGAUUGUCAGCUGCCUCAGAGUGGGGGAUACUGGUGACAUCGAUCCCAUUGACGGCCAUGACGAAAUCUCCCACCAAUAGCCCCGCCUCCUCGGCUGCUCCAUCUGAAACCAGAAGGGAGGAGCUUGGCUUACAGCUGAGCUAGCAGUGUGGUUUGCUAGAUACUGCCAACGGACACUUGCAGUAGCGAUAAUAUCUGUCAAAAACAUCAAACUGCUUGGCAAUUGCUGCUGUGACACAAAAUGUCCGCCUUAAAAUGAAAAAUAUACUAAUCGGUCUCUUUUAAAAGGAUAGCAAAUUCUUUGUUGAGCAAACUGCAUCUUUAUCAAGCAAACAAUACAAUUGAAAAUAUUGUCUGAGUAACCUUUGUUGUGCAUUUAUUAGCAUGAUAAGUUGCACAUAGUACAAAUACGGUACACAAAUGUACUUACUUGUGUCGACCUCUGUGACCACAAUAGGUUUGGAAAACUGUAUUCUGAACCCCCAGGGGUACUCUCCCAUUCCUUUCCAAAUCUUGACCGUCCUCUCACGAACUGCAGAGAGAAGAACCAAUUAAGUAAGAACGGUCCAUCUAUGU